rnacentral:rRNA from 1 species
GACGAACGCUGGCGGCGUGCUUAACACAUGCAAGUCGAACGGAAAGGCCCUGCUUUUGUGGGGUGCUCGAGUGGCGAACGGGUGAGUAACACGUGAGUAACCUGCCCUUGACUUUGGGAUAACUUCAGGAAACUGGGGCUACUAUCGUAUAGGAGCUCCUGCUGCAUGGUGGGGGUUGGAAAUUUUCGGCGGUUGGGGAUGGACUCGCGGCUUAUCAGCUUGUUGGUGGGGUAGUGGCUUACCAAGGCUUUGACGGGUAGCCGGCCUGAGAGGGUGACCGGCCACAUUGGGACUGAGAGACGGCGCAGACUCCUACGGGAGGCAGCAGGGGGGAAUAUUGCACAAUGGGCGGAAGCCUGAUGCAGCAACGCCGCGUGCGGGAUGACGGCCUUCGGGUUGUAAACCGCUUUCGCCUGUGACGAAGCGUGAGUGACGGUAAUGGGUAAAGAAGCACCGGCUAACUACGUG